CAUCGUCAUCGUUGUCCAAAAGAAGAAACCCGAGAGAAUUCUGGUCAGAUUCCCAGUCGGAAUGACCUCGCGGGCUGGAGAGAACCUGCUCCAUUUAGGAGCGCCGUUCUUCUCUUGUGACGUCGAAACACUCCAGGAGGGAUAGUGAACCAGACCACGGGCUGAAUCCCAAAUCACUCCCUACUACCUACAUGAGUGCACUUCAUCAGGUGUGCACUUAAUCACUGGUGCCUACACCUUACACCUGAGCUGUUUGGGUGUGAACCCGCAUCUUACGUCUUUUAAAAGGGUAGAUCAGUUCAAAAAGGAAAAAGGGCAAGUGUACACACAUCCAGUGGAGACUCCUGGAAAAAACCAAAGGUGAGGAUGGAAACCUCCAGCGUACCCCGUUAUCAUUUAUCUCGAAAAGCUUUAAUCUAAACACUAAGUACAGUCUAAUUAUAUUUAGAGGAUGUCUGAGGUUCAAGCUGGCACUGUUGGGCUCUUGAGCAAGGCACUUAACCCUAUCUGCUCCAGGCAUGCUGCAUCAUGCACUCUGACCCCAGCUUCCUAACAAGCUGGGAUAUGAGAAGAAUGUCACUGUAAGUGCUGUACGUCUUCUUCUCUUUCAUCAUCUUCUUCUCUUUAACCCUUUCCUCACAGUACACCGCCGUCCAAGAGUCUACUCAGCAGACAUUUUCAAUUGGUGUAAACGAAACGAUUAUUCUAGCGCCGCAAGUCUGUUAUAAGAUGAGUCAGGGAACGCUGUUGGGUUUCUGUACGUAGAGUAUCCUGACUGUGCGUUUACCUGCUGGUGAGCGGAGCCAUGGGAAAAGGGGGAGGAGUGGGAGCCCGCUGCUGGGCAAACAACUCACACCUCUCUACUGUAAGACUGGUACUGAGAUAAAACCCUUAACCAUUAACUACUGUAGUGUGACGUCACAAAUAAAUUCGAUGCUAAACAAAACACAGGCACCCCCAAAGCAGGCGGAAAAUAAAAUUUUUUAGUCUUUGGUAAAAAAAAUAAUAAAUAAAUAAAUAAAAAUUAAAAAAAUCAAAAGGUACGUAUUAAAAGGUACAAAAGAUAACGGUACAAUGCAGCAUGGUGGUAUACCAUGGAUAUAUAGCAGUGCAAGCUCACACCUCCAGGGUGUACAGUUUGAUCCCGAGCUUGCGUUCCUUUCGGUGUGGAGUUUCCCCUGGGUUCUUCGGUUUCCUCCCAAAAACAUUACAUCAGGUGGAAUGGAGACUCUAGAAUUGGCCCUAGGUGUGAAUGAGUGUGUCCACUGAUGCCUUGCGAUGAACCGUAUCCCCAUCCAGGGUGUAUUCCCACUUUACACCAAGAUCCUGAUCAGGAUAACGCGCCCACUGAAGAUUAACGAAUGGAUGAAUGUCAGUGCUCAGAUGAACUUUCCUUUCACCAACCACUGCUUCACAGUUUUGAUAUUGCAAUAUUCCAAUCACCCACACUGUUGACACAUCUUUCCAAUUGUGUAAAAUCACUUGACCUGAGCUGUUGGCAUGGCAGCAACGUUACCUUUGAUCCCAAAUCUUCUGUCGAAAAGAUGCAGAGGGCGCAGUUUGCUGGACUUGUUUUGUAGAGACCAGAUCAGAUCAUGGGAUGAUGGUUGUAUAGGGUAACACAAGCACAACAAUUAAACUCACCUUUUUUGUUUUGUUUUUUUUCAUUACUAAUUCACUAACUUGUAAACAGACACUUUCCGCCCUCUAGUGGCUACACUAAGAUGAUACAGACAAACAAGACAUCAUGAAGUAGCAAGAAUUAUAUAGGUUUUAUUACAGAAACCAUGUGUGUAGAGCUAGAAUAGAGAAAUUAUAUUUACAUUAAUGUUUUCUAAACAUGUUACAAUCUUCGAUCAUCAAAAAGGUUUGUGAAACGGAGUCAAGGGGUCCUCAGUUUUCUAAUUUUGUUACUGUGGUGUAACACGACCUACCAUUACCUGGAAUCUAACAAUUCAAUUUUAUUAAAAAUAGAGAAAAAUAAUUUAAUCUCUGGCUCCAGUUUUUUGUUGUUUUUUUUUUUGCACUGGCAGGGGUUCUUGACUAUAAGAAAGUUUGAGAACCCCCUGUUCUAUGGGAAAUCUUAAAGGUUUUUGUAGAGUUUUCCCCUUUCAAAUCCCCAUUAGAAAGGUACCCUUAAACAAAGAACCCUUCAGGAACCAAGGAACGCCUAUUUCACAUCUCCAGUCAUUAACAAUAAUUAUCUUGCAUACUGAAUAUAUAUCUCCAGAAGGCACAUUAGG